ACUCUGUUGGAUGGAAUCAAGGAGAAACAGAGUGUAGACCCUCAUUUGUUAGAGAUUCAAGAGAAGAUUGAGAAUGGAUAGAUAGGGGAUUUGUUGUGGACAGUUCGGGAGUACUGCGGUACAGGAACCGACUGUGUGUGCCUAUGAAUUCAGAGAUCCGAGAGGAGAUUUUGAGAGAGGCUCAUUACUCACCUUAUACGGUUUACCCUGGUGGAACCAAGAUGUAUAAGAACUUGAAGGCUCACUUCUGGU
rnacentral:lncRNA from 1 species